GAUGAACGCUGGCGGCGUGCCUAAUAUAUGCAAGUCGAGCGAACAGAUAAGGAGCUUGCUCCUUUGACGUUAGCGGCGGACGGGUGAGUAACACGUGGAUAACCUACCUAUAAGACUGGGAUAACUUCGGGAAACCGGAGCUAAUACCGGAUAACAUAUUGAACCGCAUGGUUCAAUAGUGAAAGGCGGCUUUGCUGUCACUUAUAGAUGGAUCCGCGCCGUAUUAGCUAGUUGGUAAGGUAACGGCUUACCAAGGCAACGAUACGUAGCCGACCUGAGAGGGUGAUCGGCCACACUGGAACUGAGACACGGUCCAGACUCCUACGGGAGGCAGCAGUAGGGAAUCUUCCGCAAUGGGCGAAAGCCUGACGGAGCAACGCCGCGUGAGUGAUGAAGGUCUUCGGAUCGUAAAACUCUGUUAUCAGGGAAGAACAAAUGUGUAAGUAACUGUGCACAUCUUGACGGUACCUGAUCAGAAAGCCACGGCUAACUACGUG
rnacentral:rRNA from 1 species